UUACACAUGCAAGUCGAGCGGUAAGGCCCUUCGGGGUACACGAGCGGCGAACGGGUGAGUAACACGUGAGCAACCUGCCCCUGACUCCGGGAUAAGCGGUGGAAACGCCGUCUAAUACCGGAUACGACCCGCCACCUCAUGGUGGAGGGUGGAAAGUUUUUCGGUCAGGGAUGGGCUCGCGGCCUAUCAGCUUGUUGGUGGGGUAACGGCCUACCAAGGCGAUUACGGGUAGCCGGCCUGAGAGGGCGACCGGCCACACUGGGACUGAGACACGGCCCAGACUCCUGCGGGAGGCAGCAGUGGGGAAUAUUGCGCAAUGGGCGAAAGCCUGACGCAGCGACGCCGCGUGGGGGAUGACGGCCUUCGGGUUGUAAACCUCUUUUACCACCAACGCAGGCUCCCAGUUCUCUGGGGGUUGACGGUAGGUGGGGAAUAAGGACCGGCUAACUACGUGCCAGCAGCCGCGGUAAUACGUAGGGUCCGAGCGUUGUCCGGAAUUAUUGGGCGUAAAGAGCUCGUAGGCGGCGUGUCGCGUCUGCUGUGAAAGACCGGGGCUUAACUCCGGUUCUGCAGUGGAUACGGGCAUGCUAGAGGUAGGUAGGGGAGACUGGAAUUCCUGGUGUAGCGGUGAAAUGCGCAGAUAUCAGGAGGAACACCGGUGGCGAAGGCGGGUCUCUGGGCCUUACCUGACGCUGAGGAGCGAAAGCAUGGGGAGCGAACAGGAUUAGAUACCCUGGUAGUCCAUGCCGUAAACGUUGGGCGCUAGGUGUGGGGACUUUCCACGGUUUCCGCGCCGUAGCUAACGCAUUAAGCGCCCCGCCUGGGGAGUACGGCCGCAAGGCUAAAACUCAAAGGAAUUGACGGGGGCCCGCACAAGCGGCGGAGCAUGUUGCUUAAUUCGACGCAACGCGAAGAACCUUACCAAGGUUUGACAUCACCCGUGGACUCGCAGAGAUGUGAGGUCAUUUAGUUGGCGGGUGA
rnacentral:rRNA from 1 species